rnacentral:rRNA from 1 species
UGGGGAAUCUUGCGCAAUGGGCGAAAGCCUGACGCAGCAACGCCGCGUGGGGGAUGAAUGCCUUCGGGUUGUAAACCCCUUUCAGCAGGGACGAAACUGACGUUACCUGCAGAAGAAGCCCCGGCCAACUACGUGCCAGCAGCCGCGGUAAUACGUAGGGGGCAAGCGUUGUCCGGAUUCAUUGGGCGUAAAGGGCGCGUAGGCGGCUUAGCAAGUCGGAUGUGAAAGCUCCAGGCUCAACCUGGAGAUGCCACCCGAGACUGCUAUGGCUAGAGUCCGGUAGGGGACCACGGAAUACCUGGUGUAGCGGUGAAAUGCGCAGAUAUCAGGUGGAACACCGGUGGCGAAGGCGGUGGUCUGGGCCGGCACUGACGCUGAUGCGCGAAAGCGUGGGUAGCGAACAGG